UACGGAGGGGGCUAGCGUUGUUCGGAAUUACUGGGCGUAAAGAGUGUGUAGGCGGUGCUCCAAGUCUGGUGUGAAAUCUCCCGGCUCAACUGGGAGGGUGCGCUAGAAACUGGAAUGCUAGAGGAUGGGAGAGGCGAGUGGAAUUACGGGUGUAGCGGUGAAAUGCGUAGAUAUCCGUAGGAACAUCCGAGGCGAAGGCGGCUCGCUGGAUCACAACUGACGCUGAGGGACGAAAGCUAGGGGAGCAAACAGG
rnacentral:rRNA from 1 species